rnacentral:rRNA from 1 species
CAGCCGCCGCGGUAAUACGGAGGGAGCUAGCGUUGUUCGGAAUUACUGGGCGUAAAGCGCGCGUAGGCGGUUACUCAAGUCAGAGGUGAAAGCCCGGGGCUCAACCCCGGAACUGCCUUUGAAACUAGGUGACUAGAAUCUUGGAGAGGUCAGUGGAAUUCCGAGUGUAGAGGUGAAAUUCGUAGAUAUUCGGAAGAACACCAGUGGCGAAGGCGACUGACUGGACAAGUAUUGACGCUGAGGUGCGAAAGCGUGGGGAGCAAACAGGAUUAGAUACCCCCGUAGUCCCUGUCUCUUAUAC